UUGGGGAUAGUGGCGAACGGGUGAGUAACACGUGAGUAACCUGCCCUUGACUCUGGGAUAACCUCCGGAAACGGAAGCUAAUACCGGAUACGAGUACGGAGGCAUCUCCUGUACGUGGAAAGAACUUCGGUCAAGGAUGGACUCGCGGCCUAUCAGGUAGUUGGUGAGGUAACGGCUCACCAAGCCUACGACGGGUAGCCGGCCUGAGAGGGUGACCGGCCACACUGGGACUGAGACACGGCCCAGACUCCUACGGGAGGCAGCAGUGGGGAAUAUUGCACAAUGGGCGCAAGCCUGAUGCAGCAACGCCGCGUGAGGGAUGACGGCCUUCGGGUUGUAAACCUCUUUUAGUAGGGAAGAAGCGAAAGUGACGGUACCUGCAGAAAAAGCACCGGCUAACUACGUGCCAGCAGCCGCGGUAAUACGUAGGGUGCGAGCGUUGUCCGGAAUUAUUGGGCGUAAAGAGCUCGUAGGCGGUCUGUCGCGUCUGCUGUGAAAACCCGAGGCUCAACCUCGGGCCUGCAGUGGGUACGGGCAGACUAGAGUGCGGUAGGGGAGAAUGGAAUUCCUGGUGUAGCGGUGGAAUGCGCAGAUAUCAGGAGGAACACCGAUGGCGAAGGCAGUUCUCUGGGCCGUAACUGACGCUGAGGAGCGAAAGCGUGGGGAGCGAACAGGAUUAGAUACCCUGGUAGUCCACGCCGUAAACGUUGGGCGCUAGAUGUGGGGACCAUUCCACGGGUUUCMGUGUCGCAGCUAACGCAUUAAGCGCCC
rnacentral:rRNA from 1 species